rnacentral:lncRNA from 1 species
CUUAAAGCAGCCGAGCAGCCCAUCUGGGAAACAACUCCGGAACUCCUUCAGACAAACUUGCCGUGGCAGGGUGACCCAGCGUCCCUGAGCCCCUGCCAGCUCUUUUGCGGCUGGUAUUUUUUCACGGAUGCUCCCUGGUGGCGUUUGUGUACUAUGGUCAAAGAAUGCUGCCCUCAUUUGUUAAGGAAAAAAAGAAAAAGAAAAAACUACCAGAGAGUAAAACAACUCAUAAAACUGUCAUGAAUAAUUCCAGCAGCUGGGCUGAAAUGGAAGGCUGCUCAAAGUACCUCUGGUUCUCCGUGACAAAGGCACCAGGAUCUUCAUGAGCUAUGGAAGGCCGCAAGAUCUGGCCGAGACGGUCCGACAGGAAUGAGAGUUCUCAGACCUGCACAGAACCUGUGACCAACUUACUCUCAGCCAACAGUUGCAUUGUGGGAACUCUUUGAAAUUGAGGGGAAAAUCCCCUAAUUAAAAGGUUCCUAAUCUCAGUUUCUGCUUAGGAAUUCCUUCUGGCACAUAUUAAACACACAGAUUUCUGGACUUCAACUUCAGAGAUCCUAAUGCCAGGAUCAUCAGUGGAGCCCAAGAGUCUACAUUUAAGAAGCUGUCUAGAAUGGACAAUUAGUCAGCUAUAUAAAUAAAAGAAAAUACUAGUGUAAGAAACAACAUGGAUGACAUCUCAACAACAAUAUUCUGAGCAAAAUAAGCCAAACACAAAAUAGUGCACAUGGUAUGAUUAUAUAUAUGAAUGCGUAUCUAUAUAUAUCUACAUAUAUAUAUAUAUAUAUGAGGUUCUAGAAUGAACACUUCAUCUAUAGUGAUAGAAAUCAGGUUGAUGGUUGCAUAGGGCAGGGGGUUAGGUGGACUGACUGCAAAGCGUCAUGAGGGAACUUUCCAGUACGAUGGUAAUGAUCUAUGUUUUUAUUGGAGU